GAUGAACGCUAGCGACAGGCCUAACACAUGCAAGUCGAGGGGCAGCACGAAGUAAGCUUGCUUACUUUGGUGGCGACCGGCGCACGGGUGCGUAACAGGUGUGCAAUCUGUCCAUAAUCGGGGAAUAGCCCAGCGAAAGUUGGAUUAAUGCUCCAUGUGAGUUUUAGAGGCAUCUCUUUAAUUUGAAACGUAAGGAUUAUGGGUGAGCACGCUUCUGAUUAGGUAGUUGGUGAGGUAACGGCUCACCAAGCCGACGAUCAGUAGGGGUUCUGAGAGGAAGGUCCCCCACAUUGGAACUGAGACACGGUCCAA
rnacentral:rRNA from 1 species